UUUCCGUAGGUGAACCUGCGGAAGGAUCAUUACAGAGUUAGGGUCUUCCAGGCCCGAUCUCCCAACCCUUUGUUUACCAAACCAUUUGUUGCUUCGGCGAGCCCGUCUCUCGGGACCGCCGGGGGACCUCUCGAGGACCCCUGGCCCGCGCUCGCCGGUGGCCCAAACCUUUAAAUUCUUAACUAAACGUGUCAUGACUGAGUACCAAUUUUUAAAAUUAAAAGCAAAACUUUCAACAACGGAUCUCUUGGUUCUGGCAUCGAUGAAGAACGCAGC
rnacentral:misc_RNA from 1 species